GAGCGUAUAGGUCCUGAAAGCGACAUGGAACCGAGGUAAUAUAGUUAUAAGUGAGCGUCAAUUUUUUUCAAAAAAUAAAAAAUAAACAUAUUACCUCAGUAUUUUAGAAAACCGAGGGAAUAUAGCUAUUAGGGAACAUGUUUUGAAUCCCUGUAACUGCAUUUAGGUUUUUUUCAAUGAUUUCUCACUUGACGCCUUCCAAUCUUUCCUUUUUUUCUUAGUUAAUUUUUUUUCUUUUUUUUAUUAAUUAGUAAUUCUAAA
rnacentral:lncRNA from 1 species